rnacentral:ncRNA from 1 species
CCAGUGCCGGAAGGUCAAGGAAGUUGGUGAACUGAUGACAGGGAAGCCGGCGACCGAAGCCCCGGUGAACGGCGGCCGUAACUAUAACGGUCCUAAGGUAGCGAAAUUCCUUGUCGGGUAAGUUCCUACCCGCACGAAAGGCGUAACGAUCUGGGCACUGUCUCGGAGAGAGGCUCGGUGAAAUAGACAUGUCUGUGAAGAUGCGGACUACCUGCACCUGGACAGAAAGACCCUAUGAAGCUUUACUGUUCCCUGGGAUUGGCUUUGGGCCUUUCCUGCGCAGCUUAG